rnacentral:rRNA from 1 species
GACGAACGCUGGCGGCGUGCUUAACACAUGCAAGUCGAACGGAAAGGCCCUGCUUUUGUGGGGUGCUCGAGGGGCGAACGGGGGAGUAACACGUGAGUAACCUGCCCUUGACUUUGGGGUAACUUCAGGAAACUGGGGCUAAUACCGUAUAGGAGCUCCUGCUGCAUGGUGGGGGGUGGAAAGUUUCGGCGGUUGGGGCUGGACUCGCGGGUUAUCAGCUUGUUGGUUGGGGAGUGGCUGACCAAGGCUGUGACGGGUAGCCGGCCUGAGAGGGUGACCGGCCACAUUGGGACUGCGAGACGGAGCAGACUGGAACGGGAGGCAGCAGUGGGGAAUAUUGCACAAUGGGCGGAAGCCUGAUGCAGCAACGCCGCGUGCGGGAUGACGGCCUUCGGGUUGUAAACCGCUGUCGCCUGUGACGAAGCGUGAGUGACGGUAAUGGGUAAAGAAGCACCGGCUAACUACGUG